UGGGGAAAGAGCAUAGCUUGGUGGUAGAGCAUCUGUCUUGCAUGCAGAAGGUCCAAGAUUCAAUCCCUGGUGUCUCAA